AUCUGGCUCAGGACGAACGCUGGCGGCGUGCCUAAUACAUGCAAGUAGAACGCUGAAGGAGGAGCUUGCUUCUCCGGAUGAGUUGCGAACGGGUGAGUAACGCGUAGGUAACCUGCCUGGUAGCGGGGGAUAACUAUUGGAAACGAUAGCUAAUACCGCAUAAUAGUAGAUGUUGCAUGACAUUUGCUUAAAAGGUGCAAUUGCAUCACUACCAGAUGGACCUGCGUUGUA
rnacentral:rRNA from 1 species